CUUAAAUGCAAUCAGGUCAGGUACUUUUGACGCUUUAGGACAUUGUCUCCAUCUGCACUGUGAAGCACUACCCAUUGAAUUAAAAAGCAUUUGGUGGAAUCUGAGCAGAUAAUACAGCCCUAUACACUUCAGUAUUCAUCCUGUUGACAAAAGCAGUCAGCAUCAUCAACUCAUACAAGGGAAACAGUGAUAGAGCUUUGGACUUUAUAUUGAGAGUUAAUAGAGGCAGACUAGCGCAAAGCCAAUAUACAGUUGCAAUCAAAAUUAUUCAACCCCCAUUGCAAAUCAAAAUGUACAGACUUUCAGCUGUCUGUGAUGAACAAAUCAAACAAAAGCAAUUGAAAUAGUUUGACACAACAAAUGCUUCAAGCAGUUUCCCCAAAUUCAACUGAAAAUGCAACUUAUAAUGAUUUCUCCAGUUUCAAAAAUUAUUCAGCCCCUUCAUGGCGAUCAUCUUUAGUACUUAGUAGAGCGUCCUUUUGCUGUUAUGACCUGCUGCAAACGAGAUGCAUGGCUUCUGUCAGCGUUCCUGAGGAAUAUUAACCCGUUUCUCAUGAGCAAUGGCCUCCAGUUCAGUAAUAUUCUUGGGUUUGUGUGCUGCAACCUCCUUCAAAUCCCACCAGAGAUUUUCUCUGGGGUUCAAGUCAGGUGACUGUGAUGCCCCUGUAGAAUCUUCCAGGACUUCUUCUGCAACCAAGCCUUGGUGGAAUUUGAUGCUUGGGAUGAUUGUCCUGUUGGAAGGUCCAAUGACGCCCAAACUUCAGCUUCCUCACAGACAGCAUGAUGUUUUCUCUGCGGAUUUCCUGAUACUUCAAUGAAUCCAUCUCGCCUUCUACACGCUGCAUGUUUCCAGUGGCAGAGGACACAAAGCAGCCCCAUAGCAUCACAAAGCCACCACCAUGCUCAACUGUGAAAAGAGUGUUCUUUCUUCAUUCUUCUUCCUCCAGACAUACCGCUGAUCCACUGUCCUGAAAAGUUCCAGUUUUGUUUCAUCGCACCACAGAACAGAAUCCUAAAACUUCUGUGGCUUAUUUAUAUGAUUUUGAGCAACUUUUCUUGUGCUUUUGGGUCAGUAGCGGUGUACGUCUUUGAGUUCUGACAUGGAAACAUUCUGCGUUUAUUACAUGCCUUACUGUUCUCACUGAAACCUCAGUAGCUGCUGCCACCAAGUCUUGCUGCAGGUCUUUUGCAGUCACUCAAGGGUUUUUCACAACUUGCCUUCUCAAAUAUCUGCUUGCAGCCGUUGAUAGCUUCUUUUUUCUGCCCCAUUCAGGUAUUUCAUAUAUUUAGUACCCCUAGCCAGUUCAGGUAUUUCAUGUGUUCCAGCUCAAGCACACCUGGUGCAACUAAUGGACCCCUUGAUUAGUUGGAUCAGGUCUGCUUGAGGAAACACCUGUUUUGUAUAUUUGUGAUGUUGUGAGGGAUUCUAUUCAGGGGUUUGAAUCAUUUUGAAACUGGAGAAAUCAUUAUAAGUUGCAUUUUCAGUUGAAUUUGGGGAACCCACUUGAAACAUUCGUUGUGUCGAACUAUUUCAAUUGCUUUUGUUUGAUUUGUUCAUCGCAAACAGCUGAAAGUCUGUACAUUUUGACAACAAACCUGAUUUGCACUGGGGGUUGAAUAAUUUUGAUUGCAGCUGUACUGUGGUAUACAGCUAAAAUAACAAUAACUUUGUCAAUGUCCAACUAUUCAUGGGCCCAGCUGAUAACAAAACUUUAAUUAGUUUAAUAAAUGUUAUCUUCUAAUAGUGCAUAUAGUUGGAUAGCCCUUCUUUUUCCAAUAAUGGUCCUAUUUUAUUUAUAGAGCCUUCUACUUUCUUCAACUGGCAAGCACUUGGAAUGUGACCCGGGCCAUCGUGGCAACUUUCUGCUUCUUGGUUUGCUUCUCAUUGGAGCUGCAGUCUCUCUGGCUACUAAGACUGCAAAGCUGGUCCAUCAACUGAACCAGGCCGCUGCGUACCAGACAUUGCUCCUCACUCCUAAAGACGUAAAGAAAUAUUCUACAUGUAGGCUGUGAACAUGACAGGAUAGCACAUCUUCAUACGAUAAGUGUUUGUUUGUGAUUCUGGCUUUCGCACACAUUAAUAAUCACAAAUUAUGCACACAAAAAUGUACAGUAUGUGAGCAAAUGGUAGGGCUGCACGAUUAUGACCAAAAUGAUAAUCCUGAUUAUUUUGAUCAAUAUUCAGAUCUUAUCACGAUUAUUCAUUGAUUUUAGGGACAACAUAUUUUUAUUGCACUUUCACAUUUAAAUAAACAGACCACUGCUUUCACCUCCAUGUUGUGCUACAUUCCUGCUGCUGUACAAAUCUUUAACAGUGUUUACAGGAGGAGAGACGCAAGACGAUUUCUUUUAGGAGCACAGUUGAAGUUUAGGGUUUUUUAUUUUUAUUUUUUUUUUUACAUUUUUUCUUUUAGAAAUGGUAACGUUAAUGUGCCACAAUAUAAGUAAAUAUAAGUAGGCAUGAGAAAACUUGAGCUGGAAAAUUAUGACAGAAUUUAGGAACAUAGUGUGAGCCAUUACACGUUAAUUUACCUUCUGAUAAACUAAAUUUAAUAUUUUCAGCUCAUUUUACAGACUGUAUGCAAAAAACAACCUUUAACCGGUUCCACCUUGUAAAUAAAUACAAUAAACAUCAAUGUUCAGUGUCUGAAGUCUGCUCCUCUUAAAUAUAUUUAAAGCUACACUAUUAGACAUUUUCCACCGUCAUGGUUCUGGGCUGGAGUCAGUUCUCGAACCGCUCUGUGUAUAUUGUGUAGAUGUCCUGAAUAAUCUCUUAUAGGAUGUGAUUGGGUGAGUUCAUUUACCCGCCAGAUGCAAAGCGCUUUAGUUUAAUGGUGUUCAUUACUGAUGCUCCGAUCAAUAUUUUUAUGACCGAAACCGAUCCAGAUACCAAUCUUUUUUUGUUUACGCUUUAAUCAGGAGGUCAUAAACAGUUAAAUGUAAGCUCUCUGCUCAUGGUCACUGUUAAUUGAAUUAAAAUAAUAGCAAUGAGAAAUACUGUUGGUUAUUUGAUAAAUAAACAAGCAUAAAAUAUUUAUUUUUAAAUAUCUUAAACAAUAAAGAAUCCUAAUUAAAAGUUGACUAACACAAAAAUUAUCCAUAUUAGGAAAAAGGCUAAUAGCUUUCUAAGGAAAUAGCGAACUAAGCUUAAUGUCAAAUUGAUAUUAAAUGCAACCCAUAGUAAUUAAACAUUAUUUCAUUUCUCAUUUUAUUUAUAUUUUAUGAAGUUAUUAUAUCUAUUUUUUAUAUUAAAUUAUUUAUAACUAAGCACAUUUUUGGUCUUUACAUUUUACUAGUUUUCUGUUUGUUUAUCAGUUGUUCCUUUUAGAUGGGUUCCCCCAGUACAGUGUCCAUGUCAGCUGAUAAUAUUGUGUUUUGGAGGGAUAAAUAAAACAUGGAAACUGGAGUUGACUUUUCUAGUGAUAUCUGGCAACCCUGAGUUUAAAUGAAGUGAAUUAGAGUUAGUGAAGGAGAGCGGCAGCGUGCUGUAAGUUUGACUGAACAGUUGCUAAUCUUGAUUAUGAUUGGUGAGGAAUUAUUUGAUAAAGAAGUUUGAAUUAAACCCACCUUUAGCAUUAUUAUUAAUUACUCUGUGUGAAGUCGCCAUGUCUAUACGAGCAGGUGCAAGUUUAGGCCAUUUUGCGGGAUCAAUAAAAGGUGGCAGUUUGUGAGAUCGGAGAGUUGACAGAAGCAGAUGAUGUACAGAGUUACUCUCUUCAUCAUAAUGGCUACUCUGCAGUAUUUCCACACUUGUUUGGUUGACUGGGGAGAUGAAAAGCAGUGUGAAAGUAACUGUUGCACGGUGUAGAUGCAUUUUGGACUUCCUGUAGUUUUUAUUCCGAUUGUAUAUACAACUCCAAACAGGUCACUCACACCGGUGCAAAUAAAUAUUUAUUCACAGUCGCACAAAGUACUUUUCAGUCAUAAAUGCGAGUGAAAUGGUCGCACUGUAGAGCCCUGAGUUUAUCUGCAAAGUUUUUUACUGUUCAGCGUGAUGACGUUUAAUGUCCCCGACAACCUCUGUAGAGCAAUUUGGCAUCAUGUUAGUUUCAUGAUUUCUCCUUGCGCAGUGAAGCUGGCAACUUGAAGGCUAAAAUGCAAACUCCAUUUCCGGGUUUUGGCACUACAAAAUGACAUAAUCCCUGUGCCACUCAAUGGCAAUUGCCUGUAAAUUUAGGAAGCGCUUGAUUUGAUUUGCAGCGGAGUUUUUUUAUGAGCAGAGGACGAAAUUUUAAUGUUAAUAUCACAGUCGAUCAUGUUCAUUUAAUCGUGGGCAGUCAAAAUCGUAAUCGCGAUCGAUAUCCGAUUAAUUGUGCAGACCUAGCAAAUGGUUUACGCAAUAUAUGCAUAAAAAUAAUCAAGUGCCAAAUUCAUAGGACAACCUCUUGGGAUUUUCAUGCACAACAAAAGUCUCUCUAGUUCACACAGAAUGGUGAAAACAAAUCUAACAGCAGUUGUGCAGGCGUAAACACCUUGUUGAUGAGAGAGGUCAAAUGAAAAUGGCCACACUGGUUCGAGCUGACAGGAAGUCUACGCUAACUCAAAUAGCCAGUCUUUACAACCAUGGUAAGCAGAAAAGCAUCUCAGACUGAACAACAAGCAGACUACAAGUAGUCUGCCUCAAGGUUUAGCAUGUUGUGCUUUCUGAAGAGGAGUGAAAAUGAACGAACUACAUGUAAUACUUUUAAACUGUUGAUAAUCGAGGGGUCAUUUCUCGACACCCUAGACAUAUACAUGAGCUCACUCGGUUAAAUUAAAUUAUUUAAAAAAUAUAUUCUUCCCAUAAAUAAUAUUUUCAAUAUUUAAAAUAAUAAUAAUAAUAAUAAUAAUAAUAAUAAUAAUAAUAAUUUCUAAAUAAUAAUUAUAAUUAUUAUUAUUAUCAAGUACAUUUUCAUCAGCUGACUUAAUUACUCUUAUUUACUCUUGAGAACUGCCACUCACGAAAUAUGAUAUUUUUUGCAUUCUGCAGUAUUCUGUAUAAACUCUAGGGACUGUUGUAUGUGAAAUUCAUAGAUCAGCAGUUUAUGAAAACUCAAACCAGCCUAUCUACUGCCAACAACCGUACCACGGUCAAAGUCAGUGAGAUCAUGUUUUUUUCCCCCUCAUUUUGAUGUCUGAUGUGAAUAUUGACUGAUACAUUGACCUGUCUUUGCAUGAUUUUAAGCAUGAUAUCUCUCUUGCAUAAAGAGGUUUCCAUUGAUGUCCGUCACCAUUCCGUGUUUGAGAUACUAUUUCCUUCUUUCUCCAAUGUCAUUCCGCCAACAUUCUAUGCUUGUUUCCGGUCCACCCAUUGCAUUGGUCUUGAAUAUAAUAUUCUGCUAGACAUUAAUCUCUGACAAGUAACUAUAUCAAGGCUACCACUUGUACAUUUAAAUAAAAUGCUGAGCUAUUUCAGUAACCUACUCAUAGAGCAUAUGUAUAAAUAUAAAAAGUCUCCGAUACAAGUCAGAUUUUAGUGAAAAGUUUCAUUUCAUGAAUCAAGACAUUUAUAUAAAUCUGGGCACAUAUUACCAAUCAAAAUCUGAGACGUGGAAUACCUACAUUUUACUAAAAGUUCAUUGCCUGGAAUCAGUUACAUUAACCCUACAUUUCUUAACCUUAUAUGACACUAAAAUUAUAAACUGUCAGAUAUUUACAUAAUAACAUUAUCCUUAGUCAUGUUUAAUCUUCAUCUGAAACUAUGUCUACCACAAGUGGAGUAUUAAGUCAGUUCUAACCUGAGAAACCACUAUGCAUGUAUGGGACAAGUAGGCGCUUCCCUGUUUGAAGUUAAAAAGUUCUCAACUUAUUGCACUUACACAUACAGCGCCCUCCACUAUUAUUGGCACCUUUGGUAAAUAUGAGCAAAGAAGGCUGUGAAAAACUGUAUAUUUUUUUUAACCUUUUGAUCUUUUUUUUUUUUUUAAAUUCACAAAAAUACUCAGCUCUCAUGGAAAAAUAUAUAUGAAGUAUAUUCAUAUUGAUAUCCAACAUUUUUUUUAGUACACCUGUGUGACCAGGAACAGGGAGUUGUUCAACCAUGACUUCCUGUUUCACAUGGGUAUAAAUAUGAGGUAACACAUAGGCCAAAUUCUCCUAGUCAUUCAUAACAAUGGGUAAGCCCAAGGAAUAUAGCUGUGAUGUGCAGCAAAAGGAUGUUGAGCUUCACAAAAUGGGAAGUGGCUAUUAGAAAAUAGCACAAGCAUUGAAGAUGCCCAUUUCCUCCAUCAGGGCAAUAAUUAAGAAGUUCCAGUCAACUGGAAAUGUUAUGAAUCGACCUGGAAUUGGACGUGUGUCUAUAUCGUCUCAACGCACUGUGAAGAGGACGGUUCGAGCUGCCAGAAAUCUCCAAGAAUCACAGCUGGAAAACUGCAGAAGUUAAUUGUGUCUUGGGGUCAGAAAGUCUCCACAACUACAAUCUGAAGUCACCUACAUCACCACAAGUUGUCUGGAAGGGUUUCAAGAAAAAAAGCAUCUACUCUCAUCCAAAAACAAACUCAAGCGUCUUCAGUUUGCAGACACUACUGGAACUUCAAAUAGGACCGGGUUCUAUGGUCAGAUGAAACCAAAAUAGAGCUGUUUGGCAAUAAACACUAGAGGUGCCAUGACCAUCCCAAUCCCCUGACCUGAAACCCAUAGAAAACCUGUUAGGUGAACUGAAGAGGAGAGUCCACCAGCAUGGAUGUGAAGGAUCUAGAGAGAUUCUGUAUUAAGGAACAGUCGCAGAUCCCUUACCAUGUAUUCUCCAACCUCAUCAGGCAUUAUAGGAGAAGACUCAGAACUGUUAUCUUGGCAAAGGGAGGCAGCACAAAGUAUUGACUAAAAGGGUGGCAAUAAUUGUUGCACACCUACAGUGAGGGAAAGAAGUAUUUGAUCCCCUGCUGAUUUUGUACGUUUGCCCACUGACAAAGAAAUGAUCAGUCU
ensembl:lncRNA